rnacentral:rRNA from 1 species
UACGGAAGGGGCAAGCGUUGUUCGGAAUCAUUGGGCGUAAAGGGCGCGUAGGUGGUCUUGUGUGUCUACUGUGAAAGCGUACAGCUUAACUGUAUUUGUCGGUAGAAACUGCAGGACUUGAGGCUGGGAGGGGCUGGUGGAAUUCCCUGUGUAGCGGUGAAAUGCGUAGAGAUGGGGAGAACACUUGUGGCGAAGGCGGCCAGCUAGACCAGCACUGACACUGAGGCGCGACAGCGUGGGAGCAAACAGG